rnacentral:rRNA from 1 species
GCAUAACGCGAAGAACCUUACCAAGGCUUGACAUACACGAGAACACCCUGGAAACAGGGGACUCUUUGGACACUCGUGAACAGGUGGUGCAUGGUUGUCGUCAGCUCGUGUCGUGAGAUGUUGGGUUAAGUCCCGCAACGAGCGCAACCCUCGUUCUAUGUUGCCAGCACGUAAUGGUGGGAACUCAUGGGAUACUGCCGGGGUCAACUCGGAGGAAGGUGGGAUGACGUCAAAUCAUCAUGCCCCUUAUGUCUUGGGCUUCACGCAUGCUACAAUGGCCGGUACAAAGGGCUGCAAUACCGUGAGGUGGAGCGAAUCCCAAAAAGCCGUACCAGUUCGAUUGAGUCUGCAACUCGACCUCAUGAAGUCGGAGUCGCUAGUAAUCGCAGAUCAGCAACGCUGCGGUGAAUACGUUCCCGGGUCUUGUACACACCG